rnacentral:rRNA from 1 species
UACAGAGGUCCCAAGCGUUGUUCGGAUUCACUGGGCGUAAAGGGUGCGUAGGUGGGCUGUCAAGUCUGACGUGAAAUCUCCGGGCCCAACCCGGAAAAUGCGUUGGAAACUGAUGGUCUAGAGGUUUGGAGGGGGGACUGGAAUUCUCGGUGUAGCAGUGAAAUGCGUAGAGAUCGAGAGGAACACCAGUGGCGAAGGCGAGUCCCUGGACAACACCUGACACUGAGGCACGAAAGCCGGGGGAGCAAACAGG